rnacentral:rRNA from 1 species
GGUGAGUAAUGCCUAGGAAUCUGCCUGGUAGUGGGGAUAACGUUCGGAGACGGACGCUAAUACCGCAUACGUCCUACGGGAGAAAGCAGGGGACCUUCGGGCCUUGCGCUAUCAGAUGAGCCUAGGUCGGAUUAGCUAGUUGGUGGGGUAAUGGCUCACCAAGGCGACGAUCCGUAACUGGUCUGAGAGGAUGAUCAGUCACACUGGAACUGAGACACGGUCCAGACUCCUACGGGAGGCAGCAGUGGGGAAUAUUGGACAAUGGGCGAAAGCCUGAUCCAGCCAUGCCGCGUGUGUGAAGAAGGUCUUCGGAUUGUAAAGCACUUUAAGUUGGGAGGAAGGGUUGUAGAUUAAUACUCUGCAAUUUUGACGUUACCGACAGAAUAAGCACCGGCUAACUCUGUGCCAGCAGCCGCGGUAAUACAGAGGGUGCAAGCGUUAAUCGGAAUUACUGGGCGUAAAGCGCGCGUAGGUGGUUAGUUAAGUUGGAUGUGAAAUCCCCGGGCUCAACCUGGGAACUGCAUUCAAAACUGACUGACUAGAGUAUGGUAGAGGGUGGUGGAAUUUCCUGUGUAGCGGUGAAAUGCGUAGAUAUAGGAAGGAACACCAGUGGCGAAGGCGACCACCUGGACUGAUACUGACACUGAGGUGCGAAAGCGUGGGGAGCAAAC